UGACCUUGCAGUCGAGGGGCAUCACAUGAAGUAGCAAUACGGAUGGUGGCGACCGGCGCACGGGUGAGUAACACGUAUGCAACCUGCCUUCAACAAGGGGAUAACCCGUUGACAGACGGACUAAUACCCUAUAACACAGGGGUCCCGCAUGGGAAUAUUUGUUAUAGGACAACCGGUUGAAGAUGGGCAUGCGUUCCAUUAGCUAGUUGGCGGGGUAAGGGCCCACCAAGGCAACGAUGGAUAGGGGAACUGAGAGGUUUAUCCCCCACACUGGGUACUGAGACACGGACCAGACUCCUACGGGAGGGCAGCAGUGA
rnacentral:rRNA from 1 species